AUGGCUGCUGAAUGGAGUGUUGAAAACACUCGGAUUAUCUUCGAGUUGUUUGCUGAGCAAGUGAAAGCCGGAAAUAGGCCAGGCAAUUAUCUAACACCAAAUACGUUUGAUGAGUGUGGAAAGAAAUUUAAGAUGAGAACUGGGCUAGACUACACAUAUACGCAAUUGAAAAACAAAUGGGACAAGCUUAAAGGUGAUUUCAGCUUAUUCAAGAAACUCAAGUUCUGGGAGACCGGAGCCGGAUGGGACUAUGUGAACAACAACGUGUCACAAGAUGAUGAGUGGUGGAAAAAGGCUAAGACUGUGAGUUCUCUCGCUGAUGUAUAG
rnacentral:rRNA from 1 species